UGAUAAUCCAGACUCUUUCUCCACAUCUGGUAUUUCUGUGUAAAUAUCUUUUAAUCCAGCCUCACUGUCCACUGAUUCUUCAGAUAAUCCAGCCUCUGAUAUUUCAAGUGAUCUGGACUCCAGUGAUUUGUCUGAUGAGUCAGUAUCCAUUUCUACUGUUUCCACCGACAGCACAGUCUCUGUUCUCACAUGUAGUAUGUCUUCUUCUAUGUUCUUCUGUAACCCAUACUUGGUCUCUACUAAAUCAGUCUCCAUCUCCUCUGAAAAUCUUUCCUUCAUCAAACUUCAAACGAUUGUCAUCAUAUUCAUGUUUGUUAUUGUUUUCUGAGACUUGGAAAUCAUUGUACGGUCCAAAGCCCCUGUCCGAUAUCUCUUCCUGUUCUCUUCUGUCCAUCUCUUCUAUUGCUCUAGUCUCUUCCUCUCUCUCCUCCUUCCUGCUAAGUUCUUCCAUGUCUAUGCCAUUCUUCACUUCAUUACCAUCUCGACUCAUUUUGUCUUUGAUUACACACAGAUCAUUGCUAUUCUCCCCUCCCGCUGAGAAUUCUACUAUUUCUUCUACUUUCCACCCUUCUUUGUCUGUCUCCAUGAAGAGUACUGCCGUUUCUUCCUCUCCAUCUUUUUCAUUUAAUCUUACCAUGGUUUCAUCCUCUGUACUUUGCACAUCGUGUUUCAUUAAUCUGUCCUUAUUUUCCUUCUCUCCAUUCUUAUCCAAAACUGUGGCAGGUUCAGCACAGGCUGAUGUAAGGUUUGGGGACUCUAUAUCAAAAUGUAUUUCUCUAUCUCUAUUGUUUUCAUGUUCUUCUGUUUUGGUUCCUUCUUCACCACAGGGGAAUUCUUCAGUGACUUCUUCAGGGAUUUCUUCUUCCUCCUCUUUUCUUGCUGCCACUGCACCUCUUAAUCUAUUUGCUUCAGCACAGUUGUAACUGUCAGUGUGUCCUUGUGCUCCCUGGCCCUUUGACCUUUCAGAUGUCGGCUCUCUGAAUAAGAUCUGGGUCCCAGUGACUACCACUGAUUGGACCCCUUUCCCAAUACUUAACUCUUCUUUGGUAACAUGCUGGAUUGUGUCUUUAUUUUCUGUUCGGUCCACCUGCUCUUGUUUUAUAUCAUCCCCCUCCUGGGAUGCUUUGCUAUCACUCCCUCUGUUGGAUUGUCCAGUGUAUUGCACAUUUUCUCUGCCGAGGCCUGGACCAAUGAUGACAUUGCACUGUUCCCAGGCAACGACGGGUCUUGGUUUCUUAACCACAGAGCCUGUUUCAAAAGUGACCUCAGUUUCCUUUAUCUCAUUUUUCGCACCAUCUCCAUGGUCGUCUGUUUGUUGUACAGCAGUGGCUUCCUGUUUUGAGCUUGUGUCAUUGUUAAUGGGCUCUGGGCUUAGAUACCUUCCCACAACUUCCGUAAAGUAAUUCUGUGUGUGUAUGUGUGUGUGUGUGUGUGUGUGAAAGAGAGAGAACGAGAGAGAGAGAGUAUUACUCUAUGUUAAUGUUAUUUACUUCCUUGUCCAUAUAUGAUAACAUAUGAUCACAUUACAUCAAUCCAGGUACAGUGAAAUAGAGUUAAUGCAGUCAUUGUGUUUUUCUCCUCCUUGGGGAAGUUCUCAAUUCAAACUAAUUGUUCAUCAACAAAUUAUUAAGUAGUCUAAAAUAUAUCUAUUGUAAUUGUAACAAUAGGAAAUAAUAAACCAAUCAGGUAGGCUAUAAAAACAGUCUCCUGUAAUAAAUUAUUUCAGCGCAGAAACUCACCCAAACUGUCCAGAAAGUCCUCCCAGCACGAGAUAGGGGGCUUGCUGGUGAGUCCAUCUUUUGGUGUUUCUGUGGCUUUUUUCAAUAAGAUAAUAAACUUCUCUUCAGAGUAGGCUACAACAAAGUAACUGCAACCUGAGGUAGCCUACUUCUUCUUGAUAGGCCUAUUAAUUAUUUUGUCAAACGAGGACAAAAAAAAUAUUCCCAUUAGUCAAUUGUCAAAUAGACCUAUUAACUUUUACAGAGAUCUAAACGCGAGCAAAUGUAAAUGAGAAUUUUGGUAACAGCUCUUAUGUAGU
rnacentral:lncRNA from 1 species